UCUGAGAAAGGAUUUCUGUGGGGAAGGGGCUGUUGGGCGUUGGAAUGGGCUGCCAAGGGCAGGGGGGGAGUCCCCGGGAUCCCUGGAGGGUGUUGAAGAGUCGGGGUGACCCAUCGCUGAGGGAUCUGGGGGAGUUGGGAACGGUCAGGGUGAGGUUCGUGGUUGGACUGGAGGAGCUUCAAGGGCUUUUCUGACC